AUGACCACCGGGGCGCCGGCGUGCGCUCCAUUGCAUCACCGGGAGCUCUUCAUUGCAACUGCGGGAGCCGCCGGUGUGGGCUCCAUUGCAGCAGCUGAGCGCCGGGACGCCGACGAGCGCUUCAUAGCAACAACGGGAGCCGCUGGAGUGCGCUGCAUCACAGGUUCGAGAGCCGGCGGCGAGCGCUGCAUCGCAGCACCGGCGAGCACGACCCCAGCUGCAGCCUCGAUGGUUGCCCUUACAGUAUCUGCAUCGGUGGCGGCGUUCGAUGACGACACCCCCGUUGCAGCACCUACAGCGACUGUCGUUGCACGUGGAGAAGUAGGAACCGACGGUGACCGCCGUUGCAGCACCUCACAACAGCAACAUCGGCGAGCGGUGGCCGUCCUUCUGCUUUGUAACCGCGGUCUGGAGCAGCGGCUGCAGAAAAACGGCGGUUCCUCGGGUGCACAUGAACACGAGUUGAAAGCUUGCAGCAGCGGGAGCCAUUUACUGCCGGCGUUGGUUUCGAUCUAG
rnacentral:rRNA from 1 species